ensembl:lncRNA
GAACAACUCUCGGAAAAGUUCAGUUUCCCAGAAUCCAGUAAAGUAUUUUUCACGAGGGGGGGCCGUCACACGCCAUUACCCCGGACACGACGCGUCCCCAAAGAGAUGAGGAUGAGAUGAGCAGCGCCCCGUUUAUCAGAAGAGAAUCACAAGGGGCAGGUCUACAGCACCGCGAUGAGGCCACACCUCCACCCUCCAUCCACCAGGGGGCAGGACCACAGCCCCUCGACGAGGCCACACCUCCACCCUCCAUCCACCAGGGGGCAGGUCUACAGCACCGCGAUGAGGCCACACCUCCACCCUCCAUCCACCAGGGGGCAGGUCUACAGCCCCGCGAUGAGGCCACACCUCCACCCUCCAUCCACCAGGGGGCAGGUCUACAGCCCCGCGAUGAGGCCACACCUCCACCCUCCAUCCACCAGGGGGCAGGUCAACAGCCCCGCGAUGAGGCCCACGCCCGUUCUGCUGCGGCUCCGUCACCACCGUCUCCUGGCAUGACAACACAUCAGAGGAAGGGACUGGCGGAGGAGCUGAAGGUGGAUGUGCGACCUGUUGGUCUCGGAACGGCAGUCACAGUGCGGCAGGACAAAGCGAGAGCGUCUGCUGUGAUGCGUCCACGCUGGGACCCGGCCGCUGGGAGGCCGUGGAUCACAGUGACAUCACGGUGACAUCACGGUGACAUCACAGCCCGGACGACGGAUGGCUCACUUAAGAACCGUCCGGCUCGACCACAACUCAAUCAUAG